rnacentral:siRNA from 1 species
UGGUCUAAAGCUAUAUAUUUAUAG